rnacentral:rRNA from 1 species
UACGAAGGGGGCUAGCGUUGUUCGGAUUUACUGGGCGUAAAGCGCACGUAGGCGGAUCUUUAAGUCAGAGGUGAAAUCCCAAGGCUCAACCUUGGAACUGCCUUUGAUACUGGGGAUCUUGAGUCCGGGAGAGGUGAGUGGAACUGCGAGUGUAGAGGUGAAAUUCGUAGAUAUUCGCAAGAGCACCAGUGGCGAAGGCGGCUCACUGGCCCGGUACUGACGCUGAGGUGCGAAAGCGUGGGGAGCGAACGGG